AACCCUCUCAUUAAACAUUUUAUUUUUGAUUUGUUUAGUGUAUGUUGAGUGUUGCUGUACCUAUAGCUCACUUUAAAUAUAUAAGUCACUUUUCAAAUAAGUUGGAUUGACUUGGUGUAAUAAUUUUAUCAUCACAUCAAGGAAAGUAGUAAAACACUUGCCAUCUUGUUUGUUAAUAAGAGACUCCUAAAACCCAAUAUCUUAUUU
rnacentral:misc_RNA from 1 species